rnacentral:rRNA from 1 species
GACAGAGGGUGCAAACGUUGUUCGGAAUUACUGGGCGUAAAGCGAGUGUAGGCGGUCUUAUAAGUCGGGUGUGAAAGCCCCGGGCUCAACCCGGGAAGUGCACUCGAAACUGUGAGGCUAGAGUAUCGGAGAGGUUGGUGGAAUUCUCGGUGUAGAGGUGAAAUUCGUAGAUAUCGAGAGGAACACCGGUGGCGAAGGCGGCCAACUGGACGAAUACUGACGCUGAGACUCGAAAGCGUGGGGAGCAAACAGG